GAGCUAUGAAUAUGUAAUGGGGGUAGGGAACACUCAUUAAGUGGAACUAAUGUGCAGAGAGUUGGGGAGGAGUUAGAGGGUGGCCACCAAGCCCUAUUAAGAAGACCCUGAGUACCAAAAGGUAGCUUGAGAAGGAUUUGCACAAGUUGUUAAAGUAUCUUUCCUUGUGGGCUGCGUCAUCUGACGCUCACACCAGAAGCUUGGCACCCAUAUCUUGUCCUUCUUCUCUCCACCUAACCAGACCCUGCUAUCCAGAUCCAAAGAUGGGAGGCAAACUUGGCAAGAAGAAGGGAUUCAUUGUGGCUGAUAAAUCUGAAGACCACAAGACUGAAGGAGCAGCCACUGAGCUAGAAGAUACUGCCAAAGAAAAUGGGGAGCCUACUGCCCUGACCUCAGAAGUAAAGGUUAUGAAAAAGGACGAAAGUCUCCAGCUCCCUUCUGAAGACCAGACAGAGGGAGACUCUGCAGUAAGCCAGGGAGAUGUCACAAAAGUUGAACCAGUGGUCAGCAUGGGUGCGAAGGCAGAGCUGCCAGAAGGUCAUGAUGCUUUAGGGGCCUCACUACCAGCAGCUUCAAAGCCUGGAAGUGAAGCUCAAGCUUCCCAGCCUCUGACACCCACAACUAAAGAAGAUGCUGGGAAGGCAAGUGCUAUAGCACCUAGUAACUAAUAAACUGGCUCCAGCUUCAGGCUCAUAAUAUAGUAGCAGUCAAGCUGCAACCUAAACAGAUGUUUGUCAACACAACACUAAUUCUAUUAAGGCCUCUGCCUCUGAACAACUGGAGUAGUUAACUGGAUCAAACUAAAAUACUAGUCCAGAGAUUUAAAAACGCAUUAUUUGAGGAAUAAAUGGCAUCUUAAUUGCAGUAACUCUUUUGGUCUAGAAAGGACAAUAUAUUGGCCCAACAAAAUGGGAAUCCAGCUUGUAUGUAUACAACAGGGAAACGCAGAAAUGAACUGCUGUAAAUGCUUUUCAAGAACAUUUCAUCAUUAGCUGUGCAUGGAGAGUGUACAACCUCUCAUUUUUGUAAAGGGUCUGGGAAUAACGUAUCUGGUUUCUGCUCUCUGAGCCCAGUCUAUAGGAUAUCUUAUAGCCCUAACUUCAGACUUUUUAUUCCAGUGGAUGAAGUCUAACUUUUAGAUAACCCUCUCCUGUCUACUUCCCUUCUCUAAAGAUGGCUUGGGGAGUAAGCUAUAACAAUCCUACCUAGACUUAAGUUACUGCAUGUAUGUGGUGCAACUUUGCAUAGUUCAGUCCACUGGUGAAUAAAGUCUUUUGGGAACUACUGCAUUAGUUGUACAUGAUAGUAAGUAAUUGUAUCAUGAAAAUUGUUGAAUAGCUCACUGAAGCUGGUACUAGAAACUGAAUGAAUUCUGCACAUCUCUAUGGUAAGCUGAUUGCAUCAACUGUUUGGCAUUUACACCUCAAUAAACUUUUUUUAUGACCACUGCAA